UCGACCGCGAGGUCGAAUCUGAAGGAAGUCGGCGGCAAACCUACGACCUGAGGAACACGAACCUCAUAUGAGGCCAGUGCUCGCUGGAUGAGUCUGCAAUACACAAGACAAAGUCCUAACUGCCGAAGACAAGUAAAGGUAAAUGAGGCAAGUAGAUGGAGAGAAAGAUGGCACU
rnacentral:ncRNA from 1 species